GUUUGAUCCUGGCUCAGGACGAACGCUGGCGGCGUGCCUAACACAUGCAAGUCAACUUGACUGAAGGAGCAAUCUGACAGUAGAGUGGCGCAAGGGUGCGUAACGCGUAAGUAACUUGCCCCAAGGUAAGGAAUAACGUCGAGAAAUCGGCGCUAAUACCUCAUAAUGCAGCGGAUCCGCAUGGAUAUGUUGUUAAAGGUUUACCGCCUUGGGAUAGGCUUGCGUCUGAUUAGCUAGUUGGUGUGGUAACGGCACACCAAGGCUACGAUCAGUAACUGGUCUGAGAGGAUGAUCAGUCACACUAGAACUGAGAUAAGGUCUUGACUCUUUAUGAGGCAGCAGUGGGGAAUAUUGGACAAUGGGGGAAACCCUGAUCCAGCAAUAUCGCAAGGAUGAAGACCGCUGUAAACUUAGGUACGUAAAUUACUUUUAUUGUAGGAGGAUAAUGACAGUACUCAAUG
rnacentral:rRNA from 1 species